rnacentral:SRP_RNA from 1 species
CGGCUGUAAUGGUCACAACAUGAAGAAGAUAUCAGCAUCCCAUCCACACUCACCCAUUUCCGCCGCAAGGCAAUCGCCAACAGUGCCCAGUCCGAACAUGGCGGUAAUCCCCCACUCGUGCAGGCAGCUCACGAUGCUGGCGGGGUUUUCAGCAAUGAAGUACAAAGUCCCAGGGAGGUUUCACUCUGCAAGACGAACUUCACCGUGGUGUGGCGGUAUUGGAAUACACUCGUUGUGUGAUUUGGGUGUUGAGUCUGGGUUGAGCGUCGACUUCACUUUU